rnacentral:rRNA from 1 species
GACGAACGCUGGCGGCGUGCUUAACACAUGCAAGUCGAACGGAAAGGCCCUGCUUUUGCUGGGUGCUCGAGUGGCGAUCGGGUGAGUAACACGUGAGUAACCUUCCCUUGACUUUGGGAUAACUUCAGGAUACUGGAGCUAAUACCGGAUAGGAGCUCCUGCUGCAUGGUGGGGGUUGGAAAGUUUCGGCGGUUGGGGAUGGACUCGCGGCUUAUCAGCUUGUUGGUGGGGUAUUGGCUUACCAAGGCUUUGCCGGGUAGCCGUCCUGAGAAGGUGACCGGCAACAUUGGGACAUAAAUACGGCACUGACUCCUACGGGAGGCAGCUGUGGAGAAUUUUGCACAAUGGGCGGUCGUCAGAUGCAGCAAAGCCGUGUGCGGAAUGCCGGCCUUCGGGUUGAAAACCGCUUUGGCCUGAGACGAAGCGUGAGUGACGGUAAUGGGUAAAAAAGCACCGGCUAACUACGUG